rnacentral:rRNA from 1 species
AUACGUAGGGUGCAAGCGUUAAUCGGAAUUACUGGGCGUAAAGCGUGCGCAGGCGGUUUUGUAAGACAGUGGUGAAAUCACCGGGCUCAACCGGGGUAAUGCCAUUGUGACUGUAAAGCUGGGGUGUGGGAGAGGGGGAUGGACAUCAGCGUGGAAGAGUGAAAUGGGUAGAUAUGCGGAGGAACACCGAUGGGGAAGGCAAUCCCCUGGGCCUGCACUGACGCUCAUGCACUAAAGCGUGGGGAGCAAACAGGAUUAGAUACCCUGGUAGUCCACGCCCUAAACGAUGUCAACUGGUUGUUGGGGAUUUAUUUUCUCAGUAACGAAGCUAACGCGUGAAGUUGACCGCCUGGGGAGUACGGCCGCAAGGUUAAAACUCAAAGGAAUUGGCGGGG